UACAGAGGUCCCAAGCGUUGUUCGGAUUCAUUGGGCGUAAAGGGUGCGUAGGCGGUUGCCUAAGUCAGGUGUGAAAUCUCGAGGCUCAACCUCGAAACUGCACUUGAUACUGGGUAACUUGAGUACUGGAGGGGAGACUGGAAUUUACGGUGAGCAGUGAAAUGCGUAGAUAUCGUAAGGGAAGACCAGUGGCGAAGGCGAGUCUCUGGACAGUUACUGACGCUGAGGCACGAAGGCUAGGGGAGCAAACGGG
rnacentral:rRNA from 1 species